GACGAACGCUGGCGGCGUGCUUAUCACAUGCAAGUCGAGCGGUAAGGCCUUUCGGGGUACACGAGCGGCGAACGGGUGAGUAACACGUGGGUGAUCUGCCCUGCACUUCGGGAUAAGCCUGGGAAACUGGGUCUAAUACCGGAUAUGACCUCCUAUCGCAUGGUGGGUGGUGGAAAGAUUUAUCGGUGCAGGAUGGGCCCGCGGCCUAUCAGCUUGUUGGUGGGGUAAUGGCCUACCAAGGCGACGACGGGUAGCCGACCUGAGAGGGUGACCGGCCACACUGGGACUGAGACACGGCCCAGACUCCUACGGGAGGCAGCAGUGGGGAAUAUUGCACAAUGGGCGAAAGCCUGAUGCAGCGACGCCGCGUGAGGGAUGACGGCCUUCGGGUUGUAAACCUCUUUCAGCAGGGACGAAGCGCAAGUGACGGUACCUGCAGAAGAAGCACCGGCUAACUACGUG
rnacentral:rRNA from 1 species